AGGGCGGAGGCGGAGGCCAGUUCCCCAGCUCCAGCCGCCGUCGCUGCUGCUUGUGUGGUUGCAGCCGCGGCUGCCUCCCGCCAGCUCGCCUCGGGGAACAGGACGCGCGCGAGCUCGGGCGUCACCCACCCAGCCUUUCUCGGAACCAUGAACCCCAACUGCGCCCGGUGCGGCAAGAUCGUGUAUCCCACGGAGAAGGUGAACUGUCUGGAUAAGUUCUGGCAUAAAGCAUGCUUCCAUUGCGAGACCUGCAAGAUGACACUGAACAUGAAGAACUACAAGGGCUACGAGAAGAAGCCCUACUGCAAUGCACACUACCCCAAGCAGUCCUUCACCAUGGUGGCCGACACCCCGGAAAACCUUCGCCUCAAGCAACAGAGUGAGCUUCAGAGUCAGGUGCGCUACAAGGAGGAGUUUGAGAAGAACAAAGGCAAAGGCUUCAGCGUGGUGGCAGACACGCCUGAGCUCCAGAGAAUCAAGAAGACCCAGGACCAGAUCAGUAAUGUGAGCUCCUGCCCUGCCCUGUGGCAUCCCUGCUGCCCUCUGUUUGGUCCCCUCCCUGCCAGCCUGGCAGACGCAAGCCUGGCAGAUGUGAAUGAGGCCAGUGCCUCCACUGCCCCUGCCCUCCAGGGUGGACCUGGGGAAGAGCUUGGGGUUCCCAGAUGCCUCUUCUCUGUGUACCCCCAGACCAGCCUGCAUAGCAUUUUCUUCUUGAAGGGACUGUAUUCUGUGGGAGCAUGUGGGGGCCUGUGUGCUAAAUCAGCCCCCACUCUCUCUGUUAUUCUUUUUUCUGGAUAUCGUGGGUAUCGGUGCAGACUGCACGUCUCAUCUUAGCACAAAGGUCAAAACUGGGGGGCGGGGAGUGCCUGGCCUCCCCUGGUCUGUGCCUGGGUGCUGACAUUGCAGUCAUUUCCUCCCUUCCUUGGCCUCCUCCCCCACAUCAGCCUGCUCUUCCUUCCUGUGUAAAAACCCCAGCCAGCUUCGCCCGCCAGCCCUGCACCCCCUGGUUCACACCCCCCGCCUCCCUGAUGGUCAGUGGCAUCUGGCUGUGGCAGGGGUGGGCAUGGAGAGUGGGCAGGGGAUCAACUGUCCCCAGCAUCGUGUGCCCUCCAUGGCAUCUGUGGCCAGAGAACAGGCCUCAGUUUCCUGCUUGGCAGAGCCACAGGCAAGCAGCCUGUGUGGCUUUAGGCAUGCGGGGGCAGGGCACUGCGGUGAGCAGCAACCAUGGGGGACCCACACACAGAACUGCAGGGGCUGCCCAGCCAGCCUGGCCUAGGAGGUCCUGCCAGGGAGGGUUUAGGCAGGCAGCUGUCUUCAUGUCUGGAACAGGAAGGGAUCAGUGAGUUGCCCGUUGUUGCUCUGGGCUGAAGAACUGGGGAUAGAGAUUGCGGGGGGGCCUGGCUUUCCGGUGGUCUCAGCACCCACUCCCUGGGCUCCACAUCCCUUCCCACCCUCCACCUGGCCACCUCAGCAGGGCGCUCCUUUAAAAGCUUGGCUGGGCCAUGCAUAGAGUGGGCUGCAGUGGUGGGUCAGGUGGAUUUCAGAAGCGCAGGCAGCCCACAGACAGCAGAACCCAGCCAUGCCCAAAACUGUGACUUUCAAACUCUGACUUCAGCCUACAGUAAAAUAUACAUUGUACGUCUUGACCCAUCUAACAGGCAUACAUUUAUGUAGAGGAAAAACAGAAUGGAAGCUUUCAUGAAUGAGUACUUCCUACUUAGAGAGCGUUCAGAUCUUUUUUUUUUUUUUGAGACAGAGUCUCACUCUGUUGCUCAGGCUGGAGUGCAGUGGUGCUCCGCCUCCAGGGAGAAUCACUGAACCUGGGAGGCAGAGGUUGCAGUGAGUUGAGAUCGCACCACUGCACUCCAGCCUGGGUGACAGAGUGAGUGAGACUCCAUCUCAAAAAAAAGAAAGGGAAAAAAAAAGUGUGCUCUUUCAACUUUACCAGAUAAUAUGGAACUAUUUUCCAAGUGGCUGCACUGAUUUACCCUCCCACCAGCAGAGAUGAGUUUCAUUUGCUCCAUGUGCUCAGAUAUGUUCACUUUAGCAUUUUGAUCGUGUAGAGUGUGAUAGCCGAUGGUUUUAAAUUGCAUUUCUGUGAUUACUAAUGAAGUUGAGUACAGACUUUUGUUUGUUUUAAAAAUAAAAUAUUGGGGCAUGGUGGGCUCAUGCCUAUAUCCUAACAGUUUGGGAGGCUGUGGUGGGAGGAUUGCUUGAGGCCAGGAGUUUAAGACUUGCCUGGGCAACAUAGCAAGAUACCAUCUCUACAAAAAAAAGAAAGAAAAUUAGCCGUGCAUGGUGGCAUCCACCUGUAGUCCCAGCUACUCGAGCGGCUGAGGUGGUAAGAUUGCUUGAGCCCAGGAGUUUGAGGCUGCAGUGAGCCAUGAUCAUGCCACCACACUCCAGCCUGGGUGACAGAUCGAGACCCUGUCUCUAAAAAAUAAAUAAAAUAAAAUAUUGUGAGUCUCUAAUGGGGAGCAGUAUUGCAUGGUGGUUGAGAACUGAGGCUCUGAUGUUAGAACUGGAUUCUGACUUAACCCACUGUUUGCCCACAUCUUGAGCCUUGGUUUCCCUAUCUGUAAAAUGGCAAUAUUCUCAGGCUGGCUGAGAAAAGGAAAUGAGGCCAGGCGCGGUGGCUCAGGCCUGUAAUCCCAGCACUUUGGCAGGCUGAGGCAGGUGGAUUAUUUAAGGCCAGGAGUUUGAGACCAGCCUGACCAACAUGACAAACCCCCGCAUCCACUAAAAAUAGAAAAAAAUAGCUGGGCAUGGUGGUGCACCCCUGUAGUCUCAGCUACUUGGGAGACAGAAGCAGGAGAAUUGGUUGAACUUGGGAGGUGGAGGUUGCAGUGAGCUGAGAUCGCACCACUGCACUCCAUCCUGGGCGGCAGAGUAAGACUGUCUCAAAAUAAAUAAAUAAAGUAAAAAAGAAAAGGAAAUGAGUAAUGCAUGUAAGGGCACCCAAAAAAAGACCCUAGCUGGUGAGCUGAUGAUUCCACCCAGAGCCUGCUGUUCCCUCGUUCACUGUGAUGUAUAAUCAUGUGAGGAGCACCGUAUGGAGAGUCAGACUUUUAUUUUCCACCACAGUUGGGAGAGCAGCGGGGUUAGAAAACAGAACAUCAGCUAGCAGAGCUUUGUCAUGGACCCUGACUUAUCAUCCUGGAGUCCCAGCUAGUAGGGUCCUGGCUGAGUCGGGAGGGUCCUUAGGCCUGGACCCCUGAACCCACAUGUACUUGGACCUCAUGGGCACAGGUAGAGUGUGGCCUCUGUCCACAGAGGCCCAGGACAGCUCCCAGGCUGGGGCUGUGCUGACAUGUCUGGGCUUAGGGCGCUCCUCACUCAGGGCUCUCAGAAGGCCAGAACUUUGCGGAGCUUGGAGCAGGGAUGAGCCAGGCCCUUGGAAGCUGGGAAAUGUUUCUUUGCCUUCUGAAUGUGCUAACAUCCCCCUCAUGUGCUUAUUUGCUUAACAAACCAGUAGGUGGGUCAGGAAAGUCAUAACACAAUUUCCUCAUUUGCUGGCGAGGGGAGGGAGAGGAAGCUGAGGGUUUGGAAAUUUUAUCCAGGUGGGCCCAGGCUGGAAGGAGCUGAGCCUCACUUUUUCUCAGCCCAUUUAGCCCCUCUGUGCCGCCCGUCCUGAGUUGCAUGCCUGGUGUCCCUCUCUCUCGAGUUAGGGUGACUUUCUGAUUAUCAUUCCUGUUGAGAGUGAAAAGGGGUGCAUUGAAAUUUAUCCCUGAGCAGCAGACAUGAACUGGGACUUGGGCGUGUGGUCACCCUGCUCCACACCUGUUCUCAGGAAAGGGCCUGUCUAGCUGUGAUUUUGUUCUUGUGUCACCAGCCUUGGCUGUUACUGAGCAAUGAAAGCUCUGCCUCGGGAAUUCAUUUAAUUUCUGAGCCUCAUGUUCCUCUUCUGUAAGAUGGGAAUGAAGUGUGCGUGUCUGGCCCAUUUUUUAGGGCGAUGAUUGUCAGGGUAUGAAGAGCUUGGUGGAACUGUGUGAAGAGCUGUACAGCUGCAGAGGUUGUUAACAUUGAUAGAGCCACCCAGGAAGGGUGUCCUGGGUUCAGGCAGCUACUCCUCCAGCCGUCGGGUCAGCCGGCCGUAACUUUAGACACAUUUAUCCAUGUGUAAUGACUUUUUGAGAAGGAAGAUCAGUUUCCCCAGCCCUUUAUGGGAAUACCCACGUGUCCAUACUUGCUUUCAGCUUAGAGUUUGCUCAGGUUCCUGGAGCUGGUCAGGGUUCGCAGGACUGCCUGGGAGCAGAUGGUACCGUGGCCUUAUUUACAGAUGAGAAAACUGAAACCCAGAGGGGAAAGUGACUCUCCCAAGGUCACGUAAGUAAGCAUACGGCUCCCCUAAGGAUGAGGCAUUGGUCUGGUGACAGUGCAGCCCAUCAUAAGGGACUGAGCCUGUGGGGUCCAGACCUGCUCUCCUCCCAGAGGAAAAGGCUCCCUGUCACCCCAUCACUAAUGCAGAUAGCGUCAUGUCCAGGGAAGCUGUCACACAUUCAUCCGGGCCCCCAACAUCAAGGACACCUGUCCCUGCAGGCCCCAUGCUGGCACCUUCGGGGGGCCCAGGGCAGGCCCCUGUCCUCUCUGUGUCGCGCUUCCCUCCCUGGUCACAGGUUUUCAGGGGCAGGCUCUUUUCCUUAACAGAAAGGAAACAAGGGAAGCUGACCUUUCCCACCUCAGAACAAAAGUUGGAAGGGCAGGUGCCUCGUGAGCCUGGAGGCCUCAGGAGGGGUGUCCCCUUCCCUUGUGCCCUCCCAGCCACCAACACCAGUAGACAGGGGUCACUAAGAGAGUGGGGCUCGGGAGACUCACCUUCCGCGCUGGGUCUGUGAGAAUGUCACCUGGAGUGCCCCUCCCAGCGGGUGCUGGGGUCGGAUGGAUUUUCAGCCUGGCCAGGGCUGGCUGCCUCACCUCAGGAACAGGCUUAGCCUGUGCUGCCAUGUGGGUGCCGGUCCUUGCUCCAGCCUGAAGGGAGGGGGCUGGGAAAGGAGGGGCUGAUCCUGACCCAAACCCUUAAGUAAACUGCCCUCUGCGUCCAGACUGGACUCCCCCCAGACUCUGUCCAGGCCCUCGCCACUGCCCUCCCUGUGCUCCCAGCCCGGGCUGCAGGAAGUAUUGGCUGUUCAGCCAGCAGGAGCAGCAACGAUGCAGGUGUUUCCAGCUGUUAACAUGUAAGCCCUGCCCGGCCACGUGCUUGCUCUUACCUUUUGU